GCGUGAGUGAAGAAGGCCUUAGGGUUGUAAAGCUCUUUCACCCGUGACGAUGAUGACGGUAGCGGGAGAAGAAGCCCCGGCUAACUCCGUGCCAGCAGCCGCGGUAAUACGGAGGGGGCUAGCGUUGUUCGGAAUUACUGGGCGUAAAGCGCGCGUAGGCGGCGUACCGAGUUAGGGGUGAAAGGCCUGGGCUUAACCUGGGAACUGCCUUUAAUACUGGUAUGCUUGAGUCCGGGAGGGGGUGGCGGAAUUCCCAGUGUAGAGGUGAAAUUCGU
rnacentral:rRNA from 1 species